rnacentral:rRNA from 1 species
GAUGAACGCUGGCGGCGUGUCUAAGGCAUGCAAGUCGAACGAUCUCUUCGGAGAUAGUGGCAAACGGGAGAGUAACACAUUGGUACUUACCCUCGAGACGAGGACAACAUCGCGAAAGUGGUGCUAAUACUCGAUAGUCUCUACGGAGUAAAAUUUUUUGCUCGAGGAAAGGCCUAUGCAUCAUCAGCUUGUUGGUAGGGUAAUGGCCUACCAAGGCGACGACGAUUAGCGGGCGUGAGAGCGUGACCCGCCUCACUGGGACUGAGACACUGCCCAGACUCCUACGGGAGGCUGCAGUCAAGAAUCUUCCACAAUGGGCGAAAGCCUGAUGGAGCGACGCCGCGUGCAGGAGGACGCCCUUCGGGGUGUAAACUGCUUUUACCAGGGACGAAUACGUGACGGUACCUGGAGAAUAAGGGGCUGCCAAACUCG